CCUUCGAUAGCUCAGUUGGUAGAGCGGAGGACUGUAGCUGGUUAAAUGGUUAUCCUUAGGUCGCUGGUUCGAAUCCGGCUCGAAGGA